GUAAAGCGCAAGUAGGCGGAGCGGUCAGUUAGGGGUGAGAACCCGGGGCUCAACCCCGGAACUGCCUUUAAUACUGCCGGUCUAGAGUUCGAGAGAGGUGAGUGGAAUUCCGAGUGUAGAGGUGAAAUUCGUAGAUAUUCGGAGGAACACCAGUGGCGAAGGCGGCUCACUGGCUCGAUACUGACGCUGAGGUGCGAAAGCGUGGGGAGCAAACAGG
rnacentral:rRNA from 1 species